AGUGAACGCUGGCGGUAGGCCUAACACAUGCAAGUCGAACGGCAGCACAGUAAGAGCUUGCUCUUACGGGUGGCGAGUGGCGGACGGGUGAGGAAUACAUCGGAAUCUACUUUUUCGUGGGGGAUAACAUAGGGAAACUUACGCUAAUACCGCAUACGACCUACGGGUGAAAGCAGGGGAUCUUCGGACCUUGCGCGAUUGAAUGAGCCGAUGUCGGAUUAGCUAGUUGGCGGGGUAAAGGCCCACCAAGGCGACGAUCCGUAGCUGGUCUGAGAGGAUGAUCAGCCACACUGGAACUGAGACACGGUCCAGACUCCUACGGGAGGCAGCAGUGGGGAAUAUUGGACAAUGGGCGCGAGCCUGAUCCAGCCAUACCGCGUGGGUGAAGAAGGCCUUCGGGUUGUAAAGCCCUUUUGUUGGGAAAGAAAAGCAGCAGGUUAAUACCCCGCUGUUCUGACGGUACCCAAAGAAUAAGCACCGGCUAACUUCGUG
rnacentral:rRNA from 1 species